UAGCAGCAGGACCUGUUUCACUUGAU
rnacentral:piRNA from 1 species